GCGCGCACGUGAGCGCGCGCUGCGCGGGUUGCUAAUUUUAGCUCCGGCGGCUUCCCUGGGGUCCCGUGAGGUGAAGGGGAGUGGAGGGGACGAGGCGGGCAAGGAGCGUGGCUCUCCUCGUUCCUUCCUGCCCCGCCGUGGGUUUUCCUCGAGGACCGGGCCCGGCCCGAGGGGUGGGGGCCCGCGGGCGACUCGAGGUGCUGGAACGCGGGCGCUUACCGAGGCGAGAACCUAGGGGGUCUCCCCGCGUGGAAACCCCGCCCCUCCCUCGGCCUUGGACACAGUCGGCGCUCAAUAAAUGAAUCGAAGUUUCUUCCUGGACGGCGACCCUGGGCUUUCGGGAGAAAGCCAGAGGGGCAGGGUUCUGGAAGGUUCCCUGGCGGCUGGGGUGCGGUGCGGGCUGAAAUCCGAGCAGGAGCUGGGCGCGGCCCUCG
rnacentral:lncRNA from 1 species